rnacentral:rRNA from 1 species
GACGAACGCUGGCGGCGUGCUUAACACAUGCAAGUCGAACGGUGAUCCGGGUACUUGUAUCUGGUGAUCAGUGGCGAACGGGUGAGUAACACGUGAGUAACCUGCCCUUCACUCUGGGAUAACUCCGGGAAACCGGGGCUAAUACCGGAUAUGACACCAAUCCGCAUGGGUAUGGUGUGGAAAGUUUUUCGGUGGAGGAUGGACUCGCGGCCUAUCAGCUUGUUGGUGAGGUAAGGCUCACCAAGGCGACGACGGGUAGCCGGCCUGAGAGGGCGACCGGCCACACUGGGACUGAGACACGGCCCAGACUCCUACGGGAGGCAGCAGUGGGGAAUAUUGCACAAUGGGCGAAAGCCUGAUGCAGCGACGCCGCGUGAGGGAUUAAGGCCU